rnacentral:rRNA from 1 species
UACGUAGGGUGCGAGCGUUGUCCGGAAUUACUGGGCGUAAAGAGCUCGUAGGCGGUUUGUCGCGUCGUCUGUGAAAACCCGCAGCUCAACUGCGGGCUUGCAGGCGAUACGGGCAGACUUGAGUACUGCAGGGGAGACUGGAAUUCCUGGUGUAGCGGUGAAAUGCGCAGAUAUCAGGAGGAACACCGGUGGCGAAGGCGGGUCUCUGGGCAGUAACUGACGCUGAGGAGCGAAAGCGUGGGUAGCGAAC